AAGUGUCGACUGUGACAAGAUGGAGAAACCCUGGACAGACUUCCUGAUCAACCAGAAGGGAAAAAUUCGUAGUAUCACCUGGUCGCUUUGAUGAAGGAUACCAAACCCUUGUGAUAGAAUCGACUCGUCCCUGAUGAAACUUAUCAACUAUUAAUUAGUUCACUCAGCUGACCAGGGAUCCACCUGCGUCAGAUGAUAUUAAAUGCUAUAGGAAAAGGAAACAUCUGGGACUCAGAAGCCCUUGAAUUGGAAACUCUCUGCCUUCCUGCCACCGAGGUCUGAAAUUGGGUACUGCUCUAAAUGAAGCUGAAAACUCAGCUGCAACUGAAAAUGUGCGGCCUUACGUUAGCAGUUACCCAUGGUCAACCACAGUUUGAAAAUAUGAAAUGGAGAAAUUCUAGAAAGAAGCAAUCCCUAAGUUCUAAGGUGCGCACCGUGCCGAGCAUGAUGAGAUCUCGCGAGUCCGCAGCCUCCCGUCCUGGAGGGGAGUCUCCCUUUCUCCGGGUCUCCUCGCCGUCAGGAGCCGUCCUGGUCAUCGGAUGGAUAACUGUCCAGGUCACCUGACUUCCCUGCAUAGUGACCUCAAAGCACAAGAACAGUGACACCGGCUGGCAGGUGCCCCUCCAAGGGAGAGGUGCGCGUCUCCACUCCCCGGGAACAGGAGCAGUAGCCAGGCUGCGGAUCGGCGGCGAGAGCGUGUCCUGCCCGGGAAGCUGAAGGAAGAAGGGAAUCCGGCUGCCUUUGCUGUCACACCGCACACUGCCGAGUGUGGCCAGCGUGCGCGCGGGAAGGGCCCCGUACCCUGCAGAAGGCGGCCCUUGCUGCGGGGAAGACACGGACUGGAAGCGCCUGCUGGCCGAGGGCAGACAGCCUGGACGGGGACUUCAGCACAGGGUCCCCUGACACCAGCGACGCCAGGCCCCCGUCGGCAGGUGACGGCCGUGUGACAGACUCAGGGGGGUCUUGGCAUCUCCUCACCUCACAUCACCGUCGUCAUACAAGGAUUCCACAUGGAAGUGAAAUCCCGUGGUGCGUCUCUCUCUCAGAAUGGCUGAUUUCACUUAACACGAUGCUCUCCAGGUCCAGCCAUGCUGCCACAAAAGGUUAAUCUGUAUGUUCUAGGGUCAUCAUUGUUGGCAUUAAAUAUCUUUGGGCCAGAGUUGUGGCAUCUUUUCCUAAUUCCAGUAAACUCAUACCAGACAGGAUGGAAUUUCAUAUUCAACACAACACGCUCUGAAGUCUGGCUGAGUGAGUUUGAAUCCCAGAUUCACUCCUUUGUAGCCAGGAGUUCUGGGCAAUUUCCUCGACAGCUCUGGGCCUCAGUUUCCACACCUGCACCAUAAAAAGGUCUUAUAUCGACAGUGACUACACACGCUUCUACAGCAGCUACUGGGGAAAAUCUUGGAGCAAAGGAGUUUUUCCACUAUAAGGGGAAUUAUAACGA